CCAGCUUCUUGUAUGCGUGCGUGUGUGGUCACGGUCGAUAUAAUAUUUGGGUGAAGUUGCGAGAAAUUUACACUGUACAAGUUCCAAACCUCUCUUCAUUGAUUUGGAUAGGUGAUCAUAUUCCAUCGGUGAUUCUCUCAUUUUGGCAAUAUUUGUGAUCGGCGAUAAGGUGAUCAAGGGGGCAUUGGGAACGAGCGAAGAG